rnacentral:rRNA from 1 species
GGAAUCUUCGGCAAUGGACGAAAGUCUGACCGAGCAACGCCGCGUGAGUGAAGAAGGUUUUCGGAUCGUAAAACUCUGUUGUUAGAGAAGAACGUUGUGUAGAGUGGAAAAUUACACAAGUGACGGUAUCUAACCAGAAAGGGACGGCUAACUACGUGCCAGCAGCCGCGGUAAUACGUAGGUCCCGAGCGUUGUCCGGAUUUAUUGGGCGUAAAGCGAGCGCAGGUGGUUUAAUAAGUCUGAUGUAAAAGGCAGUGGCUCAACCAUUGUGUGCAUUGGAAACUGUUAGACUUGAGUGCAGUAGAGGAGAGUGGAAUUCCAUGUGUAGCGGUGAAAUGCGUAGAUAUAUGGAGGAACACCGGUGGCGAAAGCGGCUCUCUGGACUGUAACUGACACUGAGGCUCGAAAGCGUGGGUAGCAAACAGGAUUAGAUACCCGGG